GUUUUCUUUGGACGUCCAUAGCAAAUGGUUCCAUGGUUGCGGCAUUUGUGGGGCGGGAUGUUCAUUCAGGAGGUGGUCGGUCUCAUAUCUUCUUGGGAUUUCUGGGGCUUCCGUAUUGGGGGCUUGUGAUUUGUCAAUCAGAGGCUUUGUUGUUUUCUCCUGGUCCCAAUGUGUAGUGGGAUUCGCAGCAUGGGCGUUCGUCGCUGGGGCCGUCAUCGGUCUGGCUUUUUCUAUAUCAUUUCUAUGUUCUUUUGGGUGCUGCCCUGGGGUUCUGCUGGUGACUCCUGUAUGUGCUGCUUGCUGGUUUGUUUCUUGAUUAGUUAUUGGUAUUAUAUAUACCCUGUCUUUUCACGUUCCUCUUUAGGAUCUUUAUCAUUCCUAAGCCUAUUAAAAAUUGUUGGUAGUCUGGUAAUAACUACUCUUUUGUCA
rnacentral:lncRNA from 1 species